GGAGCUCAGCUUAGAGAACAGGAAGUGGGAGCCACAUACCCCGAGCUGGCGGCUUGAGCCUGUGGUAUCUAGGCUCACCUCACUGCGGUUGGUGGAGGUGAUGGAGGUUGCAGCUUGGCCAGCAUGGUAGAAAGGUGGCAGGGUAGGCACGUCUGGCUUUUACCACCCAGUUGCUUCGAGCCAGGAGAUGGAGGAGUCAUCUGUUGCACGCUGGAGGCUGGAGCCUGCAGAUGGCAUGGUUCUGUGGCUCACCUCGCUGCAGUUGGUGGCAGAGACAGAGACUGCAGCUUGACCAGAGUGGUGGAGUGAGUAUUGUCAUCUGCAUGAGCAAAUCUGGUUCAUCACAUCUUUGCAACAGGAAAAGGAAGGGAGGAUCAUGUGUAUAAUGUUUUAAGGCCAAGAUUCACAACAAGAACAAAGUCUUUAUUAACUUUUGCCUUCAAGAACCUGCAGUGUUGAGCCCUUUUUUAUUUCUGGUAUUACUACCUUUGGUAUGAAAUCUUUUUUUAGUGAUUACUUGAAGUUUAUGCAUUUUAUUGACUACUUUAAAGAAACAAUCUAUAUUGUAUCAUUUUUCAAGCCCACAGGAAUGCAUAAAGUCUAUAAUUUUGACACUUUUUAUUUUUAAGGUUAUGAGCAUGUAAAAUACUGUUGAUAUGUGUAAGGAUAUGUAAAAAUGCCACUAGAUAGCUUAUGUUGAAG
rnacentral:lncRNA from 1 species